GCCGGAAUCGCUAGUAAUCGCGGAUCAGAAUGCCGCGGUGAAUACGUUCCCGGGUCUUGUACACACCGCCCGUCACACCAUGGGAGUUGGAAAUGCCCGAAGUCAGUGGCCCAACCGGAAGGGGGGAGCUGCCGAAGGCAGGUUCGAUGACUGGGGUGAAGUCGUAACAAGGUAAC
rnacentral:rRNA from 1 species